GCCGGGUGCGGUGGCUCACGCCUGUAAUCCCAGCACUUUGGGAGGCCGAGACGGGUGGAUCACCUGAGGUCAGGAGUUCGAGACCAGCCUGGUCAACAUGGUGAAACCCCGUCUCUA
ensembl:misc_RNA Metazoa_SRP Metazoan signal recognition particle RNA